GAUAAAAGGUAAAUGUGCAACUAUGUGUACGAAGAUGAAUAUGAGGAGGUGGUGCCUGCUGUCUAGGUAUUCACGUGCGUGUUGUCGUACAGCAGUCACCGUGCUCGGCUGACACUCCGGGUUAGCUGUGGGUGUCGAAAGGCUGUUGUUAUAGGAAGGGAGAAUAAGAGUAACACCUAGGUAUGAGGUGCAGACGAAGUGCAAGACACAAAUACUUGGGGUAUAGGAGAGGACAAUGAAGUACGAGGUGCAGACGAAGUGCAAGACACAAGUACUCCAAAGAGAGAACGGGAUAGCCGAGUAUAAGGUGCAGACGAAGUGCAAGACACAAGUACUCUGAAAUGUCGAGGAAAAGAGUAUAUAGGUUAGAAAAGGAAUAAACAAAGACUUUACUUUAAACAGUAAGCCGGACAGCGACAACCGAGUACUGAGACUGAUGAAUGACACAAGGCACUGGAGUCGACUGACCACGAUGGUCAGGUCUAUUGGGUUUUUAUAAUAAUUACACCUAUUGCCGAUUUGGCAAUAAAUAUUAUUUGUUAAUUCACCAAUCUCAGGCAGCGGAUGUGCUGUCUGUAUUUUAUUAAAAUAAUUCUCACGAUUAUGAAAACGUGACACCAUCACAAUAUAUUAUAAGUUUAUAAAUUAAAGAGAUUUCUUAAGUUUCAAAAAAUACAAAGUUUGGAUAUUUUUCAUGUUAUAAAUUGUGAAGGGUUACAAAAUGACAUGGUAUAGUUAAUCUAAUUAAUGAGUUUUGAUAAAAUAA